CCUACGGGAGGCAGCAGUGAGGAAUAUUGGUCAAUGGACGAGAGUCUGAACCAGCCAAGUAGCGUGAAGGAUGACUGCCCUAUGGGUUGUAAACUUCUUUUAUAUGGGAAUAAAAUGUUCCACGUGUGGGAUUUUGUAUGUACCAUAUGAAUAAGGAUCGGCUAACUCCGUGCCAGCAGCCGCGGUAAUACGGAGGAUCCGAGCGUUAUCCGGAUUUAUUGGGGUUAAAGGGAGCGUAGGUGGAUUGUUAAGUCAGUUGUGAAAGUUUGGGGCUCAACCGUAAAAUUGCAGUUGAAACUGGCAGUCUUGAGUACAGUAGAGGUGGGCGGAAUUCGUGGUGUAGCGGUGAAAUGCUUAGAUAUCACGAAGAACUCCGAUUGCGAAGGCAGUUCACUGGACUGCAACUGACACUGAGGCUCGAAAGUGUGGGUAUCAAACAGGAUUAGAUACCCUUGUAGUC
rnacentral:rRNA from 1 species